UACGAAGGGGGCUAGCGUUGUUCGGAAUUACUGGGCGUAAAGCGCGCGCAGGUGGUCUUUCAAGUCAGUGGUGAAAGCCCGGAGCUCAACUCCGGAAAUGCCAUUGAAACUGUAAGACUUGAGGAUGAGAGAGGUGAGUGGAAUUUCCAGUGUAGAGGUGAAAUUCGUAGAUAUUGGGAAGAACACCGGUGGCGAAGGCGGCUCACUGGCUCAUAUCUGACGCUCAGGCGCGACAGCGUGGGGAUCAAACAGG
rnacentral:rRNA from 1 species